UGCAGUCAGUCCUUCCGCCGUGCGGCGGCGCUGCAGUUCUGGUGUCUCCAGCAGCAGCAGCAGAAGAAGAGAAGAAGAAGUUUAUUGUUUUGGUUAUUUAUCGGUUAUAUAUUGUUGUUAUGGAAAAUGAACUCUAAAUCUCUUUAGUUCUGAAUUGUGAAUCUGAUUUCUGAAUCUGGGCCCUAAUCAGUUGGUUCCCACUGACACUGUAUUUCCUUCUUUAAGGAAGAACAAGAUAUUAAAGCUCUGCAUAUAAAAAAACAGGAAGCGCUUGACCAAAGACAGGUCAACAGGGGGAGGGAGCGACCUGUUUUCUGGCCAGCAGCAGCAGUGAGGAGAUAGACACAGAGCUGCAGGAGUGACUGGAGUCCAGCUGUAAACAGGCGAGACGUGUGGUCAAAAUCUACGAGAACCUGAAGAACACAGUAGACCAGCUAAAGAAAGAUAUGGAGUGUGUGACAGAUGCAGAUGUCGCUGUGUGCCUCCUGACCAAUGAGAAUGAAGGGCUGCUGCAGCUGACCGACAGUCUCCAGCAGAAGCACAGUCACAUGACCAGCGAGUCUUGGCCUGGCGGCUAAUCGUGCUGAAUACAGAAUCAGCGAGAUGCAUGUUCUCACUGAGGAGCUGCAGUGAGACACGGAGAAGAUCAGACGGAGAGAGAACAUGCAGAGGUGCUGGAAAGGAAAGAUGAGGUAUCCUUGCAGUGUAAGGUCCGUAGUGAAGUGAUUCAGUUGGAAGACACGUUGGCACAGGUGCACAAGGAGUACGAGAUGCUCAGGAUCGAAUAUUAGCAGACAUUAGCUGCUAAUGAACAAGCAGCUGCGUGCUGAAUGUGAAGGAGGAGACCACCUCCAUCUGUCCCGACGGGUGAUGUUACUGUGAAGACUGAGGCAGAUAGCAGCUUCACCACACACAGCAGCGCUGGAGGACAUAUCCAAAGUGCGCAGGAAGAUAGAGAAGGCCAAGAAACCUGCGGAGAACAUUCGAAAUGGAGAUGAGAUCCUGGAUGAUGAAAUACAUUAUUACAAGGCCCUGUUGACGUGUCCAUGCUGCAAUUCACGUGUAAAGGACGCUGUUUUGAUAAAGUACUUCUAUGUGUUCUGUUUUGAGUGUGUGAAGACGCGCUUCGACACCCGUCAGAAAAGUGUCCAAAGUGCAAUGCCGCAUUUGGUGCCAGUGGUUUCCAUCGCAUCUACAUCAAAUGAGAUUCAUGAUUCACUGUAUCUGCAUCUGUUUGGUCCAGUUGCUCAACAUUGGAGGCCGGAGCUUGUCCUGUAUCUUUGGGCGAACAUCAACAGUUUUACAUUCCACUUGUUUUUUCUCUACAAAGACUUCCAGAAUUUUCAGUAAUUUUUGUACUGUC